UACGUAGGGUGCAAGCGUUGUCCGGAAUUAUUGGGCGUAAAGAGCUCGUAGGCGGUUCGUCGCGUCGGCUGUGAAAUCCCGAGGCUCAACCUCGGGUCUGCAGUCGAUACGGGCGGACUGGAGUACUGCAGGGGAGAGUGGAAUUCCUGGUGUAGCGGUGAAAUGCGCAGAUAUCAGGAGGAACACCGGUGGCGAAGGCGGGUCUCUGGGCAGUUACUGACGCUGAGGAGCGAAAGCGUGGGGAGCGAACAGG
rnacentral:rRNA from 1 species